UACGUAGGGUGCGAGCGUUAAUCGGAAUUACUGGGCGUAAAGCGUGCGCAGGCGGUUCGUUAAGUCAGAUGUGAAAGCCCCGAGCUUAACUUGGGAAUGGCAUUUGAAACUGGCGGGCUGGAGUGUGGCAGAGGGGGGUGGGAAUUCCACGUGUAGCAGUGAAAUGCGUAGAGAUGUGGAGGAACACCGAUGGCGAAGGCAGGUCUCUGGGCAUUAACUGACGCUGAGGAGCGAAAGCAUGGGGAGCGAACAGG
rnacentral:rRNA from 1 species